GGACGCACCCUGAUCCAGCCAUGCCGCGUGAGUGAAGAAGGCCUUCGGGUUGUAAAGCUCUUUCGGUGGGGAAGAAAUUGCCCGGGCUAAUAUCCUGUGUAGAUGACGGUACCCGAAUAAUAAGCACCGGCUAACUACGUGCCAGCAGCCGCGGUAAUACGUAGGGUGCGAGCGUUAAUCGGAAUUACUGGGCGUAAAGCGUGCGCAGGCGGUUGGGUAAGUCAGAUGUGAAAGCCCCGGGCUCAACCUGGGAACUGCAUUUGAAACUGCCCAGCUGGAGUUUGGCAGAGGGA
rnacentral:rRNA from 1 species